rnacentral:rRNA from 1 species
UACGAAGGGGGCUAGCGUUGUUCGGAUUUACUGGGCGUAAAGCGCACGUAGGCGGAUCGUUAAGUCGGGGGUGAAAUCCUGGAGCUCAACUCCAGAACUGCCUUCGAUACUGGCGAUCUUGAGUCCGGAAGAGGUGAGUGGAACUCCUAGUGUAGAGGUGGAAUUCGUAGAUAUUAGGAAGAACACCAGUGGCGAAGGCGGCUCACUGGUCCGGUACUGACGCUGAGGUGUGAAAGCGUGGGGAGCAAACAGG